AGCUAGCUUUGCAAUAUGGCGGCCGAGGUGGAUGGACCGCUUAAACGGCUGCUCGUGCCGAUUCUUUUACCUGAGAAAUGCUACGACCAACUUUUCGUUCAGUGGGACUUGCUUCACGUCCCCUGCCUCAAGAUUCUCCUCAGCAAAGGCCUGGGGCUGGGCAUUGUGGCUGGCUCACUUCUAGCUGCCCCAGGUGUUUAAAAUCCUGGGAGCCAAGAGUGCCGAAGGGUUGAGUCUCCAGUCUGUAAUGCUGGAGCUAGUGGCAUUGACUGGGACCAUGGUCUACAGCAUCACUAACAACUUCCCAUUCAGCUCUUGGGGUGAAGCCUUAUUCCUGAUGCUCCAGACGAUCACCAUCUGCUUCCUGGUCAUGCAUUACAGAGGACAGACUGUGAAAGGUGCUGGGGACUUACCCAAGAGCAGGCUGUGUGGUUCCUGGGAACCCUGCUGGGAACUCAGGCCUGGGAAAGCCAAAUGAUGUGGGGAGAUUGACAAGGACUCCUGUCUCCCCACCCCUAGGUGUCGCUUUCCUCGCUUGCUACGGCCUGGUCCUUCUGGUGCUUCUCUCACCUCUGACGCCCU
rnacentral:sRNA from 1 species